ACUCCUGGGCUCAAGGGAUCCUCCUGCCUGGGCCUCUCAAAGCACUGAAAUUACAGGCAUGAGCCAUGGUACCCAGCCUGUUUUUAUUUAAAACUUUAUUUUGAAAAAUAUUUAAACAUAGAAAAAAAUUGUGAGAAUACAAUUAACUCUAAUAUUCAUUUGCUUCACCAAGUGUCCAACCGUUGAUUCACCAAUUAACAUUCGCCUCAUUAGCUUAAUCUCUCUGUAUAUGCAUAGGUAGAUUAUUACUGCUAACAGUGCUGAACCAUUUAAAAUCACAGACACCGUCUUAUGUCCCUUUACUCCUAAAUACUUCAUUAGUGUCUCCUAAAAAUGAGAACAUUCUCAGCCAGGGGUGGUGGCUCAUGCCUGUAAUCCCAGCACUUUGGGAGUCCAAGGCAGGGGGAUAACCUGAAGUCAGAAGUUCGAGACCAGCCUGGCCAACAGGGUGAAACCCCAUCUCUACUAAAAAUACAAAAAAGAGUCAGGUGUGGUGCCAGGUGCCUGUAAUCCCAGCUACUUGUGAGACUGAGGCAGGAGAAUCACUUGAACCUGGGAGACGGAGGUUGCAGUGAGCUGAGAUGGUGCCACCACACUCCAGCCUGAGGGACCAGCAAGACUUCAUCUCAAAAAAAAAGAAAAAAAUAGAACAUUCUCUUAUACAAUGAUCAAAUGAAGGAAAUUUAACAUCACUAUGAGACUGUUAUCUAAUGUAAGUCCGUGCUCGUUUCCCUGAUGGUCCCAAUGACGUCCUCUGUAUGUAGUGAGAUGCAUUGCAGUUAGCUGUCAUGGUGGUGAGAUGGGUGGCAGUUACCUGUCAUGGUGGUGAGAGGCGUGGCAGUUAGCUGUCAUGGUGGUGAGAUGGGUGGCAGUUACCUGUCAUGGUGGUGAGAGGCGUCGCAGUUACCUGUCAUGCUGGUGAGAUGGGUGGCAGUUACCUGUCAUGGUGGUGAGAUGGGUGGCAGUUAGCUGUCAUGGUGGUGAGAGGCGUGGUAGUUACCUGUCAUGGUGGUGAGAGGCGUGGCAGUUACCUGUCAUGGUGGUGAGAUGGGUGGCAGUUACCUGUCAUGGUGGUGAGAUGCGUGGCAGUUACCUGUCAUAAGGGUGAGAUGGGUGGCAGUUACCUGUCAUGGUGGUGAGAGGUGUGGCAGUUAGCUGUCAUGGUGGUGAGAUGGGUGGCAGUUAGCGGUCAUGGUGGUGAGAGGCGUGGCAGUUAGCUGUCAUGGUGGUGAGAGGCGUGGCAGUUACCUGUCAUGGUGGUGAGAUGGGUCGCAGUUAGCUGUCAUGCUGGUGAGAUGGGUGGCAGUUACCUGUCAUGGUGGUGAGAGGCGUGGCAGUUAGCUGUCAUGCUGGUGAGAUGGGUGGCAGUUACCUGUCAUGGUGGUGAGAUGGGUGGCAGUUACCUGUCAUGGUGGUGAGAGGCGUGGCAGCUGUCAUGGUGGUGAGAUGGGUGGCAGUUACCGGUCAUGGUGGUGAGAGGCGUGGCAGUUACCUGUCAUGGUGAUGAGAUGGGUGGCAGUUACCUGUCAUGGUGGUGAGAUGGGUGGCAGUUACCUGUCAUGGUGGUGAGAUGCGUGGCAGUUACCUGUCAUGGUGGUGAGAUGGGUGGCAGUUAGCUGUCACGGUGGUGAGAGGCGUGGCAGUUAGCUGUCACGGUGGUGAGAGGCGUGGCAGUUAGCUGUCAUGGUGGUCAGAUGCGUGGCAGUUACCUGUCAUGGUGGUGAGAGGCGUCGCAGUUACCUGUCAUGGUGGUCAGAUGCUUUGCUGUCAUGCUGCUUUUGUCUCCUUUAAUCUUGAACAUUUCCUCCCUCUUUCUGUCUUCCAUUCUGGAGGUACACGACAAGUGCCCCAUGAGUGUGUUGUAACUUCCUCAGGGCAUCAGUCGAAUCAGGAGGCCCUUGAAAUCUGUUUGUCUCGAUAUUGGGACCUAUGAUCAUUCAGGAAAGUGCAGCUGGCCGGUGCCCAGGCUGGGAGGCGCUGGAGGUGGAAGAGCCGGGCUGGGCAGAGAAGGAAAAGCAGGUAGGACGGGAAUCUGUGCAGAGAGCAGGGAAGGCAUUUGGGAUGCUUCACCGGAAGCCUUAAUGCCGCUCACGGAGGGGUGGGUGGAGGGCAUUCCACUCUGCUUUAGUGCCCACUGGGCACUUCUGGGCCGCCCCAAUGGGGCUGGCUCUUUGCUGGGAUCAUGCCCUGGAGAGAGGCCAGUUUGCAGGAGGCAACAGAAAGGCUCUUUCCCACCUCACUCCCCGGUGGCCUCUAGUGAUCCCUGGUGGGGAGGUAGAGAGGAGAAAGCCCCAAAGGGAGAAGUACAGCGUUUGAGAGUAAAUUACAUCCAGGUAAAUACUAUUUUCAGAGUGCAGUGAACCUGCAAGGCUCCAGAUCCCCGGGCCUGGCCUGGGCCCCCUAGCCAGUCCCCUCCACCGGCCCGCGGCCUGUUUGCUCUACUCCCUGCAAAUAUUUGCUGUGCUGUGGGCCACAACCCUCGGCCAGCAGUCAAGGUGCAAUGGGGGUGGGGGUGGUUAGCGUGAUGCCCACAGGACGUACACGCAGCCCUGGGAGGACGGGCCAUGAGUGGCUGGAGGUGUAUUUGUUUCCCAGCCUGUCAUAACAGAUGACCACGAACUGGGUGACUUGGCACAGCAGGUACUUAUUCUCCCACAGCUCUGGAGGUCAGAAGUGUGAAAUCCUUGGACGCAGUGAUUCACGCCUAUAAUCCCAGCACUUUGGGAGGCCAAGAGAUUGGGUCUUGCUAUGCUGACCAGGCUCGUCUUGAACUCUUGGGCUCAAGCAGUCCUCCUGCCUCAGUCUCCAAAGUGCUGGGAUUACUGGUAAGAACCACCAUACCUGGCCUGAACCCCAUUUUCAAUAUUUUUUUGGUUUGUUUGAGGCAGUGUCCCUCUAUUGCCCAGGCUGGAGUGCGAUGGCUCAGUCUCGGCUCACUGCAGCCUCCACCUGUCAGGUUCAAGCAGUUCUCAUGCCUCAGCCUCCUGAGUUGCUGGGACUACAGGCAGGUGCCACCCUGGCUAAUUUGCUUUAUAUUUUUAGUAGAGAGGGGGUUUUGCCAUAUUGGCCAGAUGGGUCUCAAACUCCUGACCUCAAGUGAUCCACCCACCUUGGCCUCCCAAAGUGCCCCGUUUUUGAAAGAACAAAUCUCCGUGUUCCUGUGGAAACCCUUGGGAUUAUGGGUGUGACAUAGAAGAGACUCAACGAAGAGGAGACCUCAUGGGCCUGAAACAGCCAGAGGAGGCUGCGGCUGCUUGUUCACGCUGUAUCUGAGUUAGGCUCCAAGGCUGAGGGGAGGGACAUGGACCGCAAUGGACCCAUGCUGGAAGCUGGGGGUGAUAAGUUGACGAGAGUAAUGGACACACUAUCUGGGCAUCGUACCCCCACACUGGCACUCACACUGGUGGGGUGUGGCAACCUGACAGGCUGAAACACAGACCCUAGAAUUCUCUUUCUAGUACAACCCCAGUUAGGGCGACGUGAGAUACGGUCUCAGAAGAUGGAAUAAAGACGGCAGGCGUUCUGUCGCCACCACUCAGCUCCUCCCUGUCAUUUGAUCAAACACUAAAGGGAUUUGGAACCUGAAAGGCAAAUUAGCCAGCUGCUUUUAAGUUAAUCAAAAGGGAGAUGACUUGGGCCGAGGCCUGGCUCGAUCAGCUUUGAUCCUCUAAAAGCAGGCUCAGAAAAGGGGAAGAGACCACAGUGAUUUCUGUGGUGAUGGGUUAGAGCUGGAGAUGCCAGGAUGAACGUGGAUGCAGAUGGUUACACAGAGAAAUAAUAUCUGCGGGCCGGGCGCGGUGGCUCACGCCUGUAAUCCUAGCACUUUGGGAGGCCGAGGCGGGUGGAUCACGAGGUCAAGAGAUCGAGACCAUCCUGGUCAACAAGGUGAAACCCCGUCUCUACUAAAAAUACAAAAAAAAAAAAUUAGCUGGCCAUGGUGGCGUGUGCCUGUAAUCCCAGGUACUCAGGAGGCUGAGGCAGGAGAAUUGCCUGAACCCAGGAGGUGGAGGUUGCGGUGAGCCGAGAUCGCGCCAUUGCACUCCAGCCUGGGUAACAAGAAUGAAACUCCGUCUCAAAAAAAAAAAAGAAAAGAAAGGAAAAGAAAGAAAGAAAGAGAAAGAAAGAAAGAAAGAA